UUUACAAAGGGAUAAAGGCCAAGUUUGGGCUACUGUGAGAAUAUAAGAACCACCAUGAGCCACAGACACAAGGGAAGUUCACACCGAACCACAGAAUCAUCUCCAUUAGUUUCACUCAGAAACUUUCCCAGGUGCUCAUAGGAAAGAAUGAGGACAAGGCAGGAGACCAAAGAAAGCCUCCCAUCUGGGGAGCAGAAUUCACUCUAAGUAGGCACCAACCUGCCCAAAUCUCUCUCCUCUCCAGAACAAAGCCUUAAACGUCCCUCAGAUGUAAGAAAUAAAGUUUGAUCAACAAGAGAAAGUACAGUGUGAUGGAAAUGUUAAAAAUUACAGUGAUCAGUGAUGCUGAGCAGAAACCCUACAAGCCAGAAGAGACUGGGGUCAAGAUCCACUGGUGAAAUAUUGUCAGAUCCUCUGAAGACUGAAAAGACUACAUAUGUGAAACUGUUUUCUAAGCCAUAAAGCAUUAUCUGCAUAUAAGAGAUUGCUUUCUGAAUUGAAACUCAGCAGUCCCCAUCAUCACUGACAGUAGGUCUUCCUUUCUUCCUGCAGAUCUAUAUCCCUUAUUUUCAGUUACAGAGAGAACUGGGAGCCUUCCAAACGCAGAUUAUCUCAACAGGGCUUGUUUUGUAUAUUUAAAGGGUUCAACUCCAUAAACUGAGGAGUUGAUAUUAUGAUUAUCUGCUGUUUCUGAUUUAUCCAGAGGUGCUUUUUUUUUUCUUUCUGCAUCAUUUAGAUGAAAAAUCUUUAUA
rnacentral:lncRNA from 13 species